rnacentral:rRNA from 1 species
GAUGAACGCUGGCGGCGUGCCUAAUACAUGCAAGUCGAGCGAACGGACGAGAAGCUUGCUUCUCUGAUGUUAGCGGCGGACGGGUGAGUAACACGUGGAUAACCUACCUAUAAGACUGGGAUAACUUCGGGAAACCGGAGCUAAUACCGGAUAAUAUUUUGAACCGCAUGGUUCAAAAGUGAAAGACGGUCUUGCUGUCACUUAUAGAUGGAUCCGCGCUGCAUUAGCUAGUUGGUAAGGUAACGGCUUACCAAGGCAACGAUGCAUAGCCGACCUGAGAGGGUGAUCGGCCACCCUGGAACUGAGACACGGUCCAGACUCCUACGGGAGGCAGCAGUAGGGAAUCUUCCGCAAUGGGCGAAAGCCUGACGGAGCAACGCCGCGAGAGUGAUGAAGGUAUUCGGAUCGUAAAACUCUGUUAUUAGGGAAGAACAUAUGUGUAAGUAACUGUGAACAUCUUGACGGUACCUAAUCAGAAAGCCCCGGCUAACUACGUG